rnacentral:rRNA from 1 species
UACGGAGGGUGCGAACGUUGUCCGGAAUCAUUGGGCGUAAAGGGCGCGUAGGUGGCCCAGUAAGCGUGCGGUGAAAGCUCGGGGCUCAACUCCGAGUCGGCCGUGCGAACUGGGCUCACUGGAGCAUAGUAGAGGCAGGUGGAAUUCCGGGUGUAGCGGUGGAAUGCGUAGAGAUCCGGAAGAACACCGAUGGCGAAGGCAGGUCUCUGGGCCGAUACUGACGCUGAGGAGCGAAAGCGUGGGGAGCGAACAGG